UUAAGAGACUGCAUCAUUGUCUUGAUAAAGUCUUGCUUAGAGACAAAACAUGUACAGCCUGGGUGCGUUAUGUACAUGAUAUCAUAGGAGGGCACUUUUUUUGAUAUUUGAGCGGUGAUUCUAAACAAGUUGUGAUGGGGCAUUUACCAUACAGUCAAGAUAGAGUUAUCUUGUGUUUGACUACGGAUUUCUCUUUUCACGCUCUGAAGUUGCUGGAUUAUCUGACUUUACU